GAUCCUGGCUCAGGAUGAACGCUAGCUACAGGCUUAACACAUGCAAGUCGAGGGGCAGCGGGAUUGAAGCUUGCUUCAAUUGCCGGCGACCGGCGCACGGGUGAGUAACGUGUAUCCAACCUUCCGUACACUCAGGGAUAGCCUUUCGAAAGAAAGAUUAAUACCUGAUGGUAUCUUAAGCACACAUGUAAUUAAGAUUUAAAGAUUUAAUCGGUUGUACGAUGGGGAUGCGUUCCAUUAGGUAGUAGGG
rnacentral:rRNA from 1 species